rnacentral:rRNA from 1 species
AACGAACGCUGGCGGCAGGCUUAACACAUGCAAGUCGAACGCCCCGCAAGGGGCGUGGCAGACGGGUGAGUAACGCGUGGGAACAUACCCUUUCCUGCGGAAUAGCUCCGGGAAACUGGAAUUAAUACCGCAUACGCCCUACGGGGGAAAGAUUUAUCGGGGAAGGAUUGGCCCGCGUUGGAUUAGCUAGUUGGUGGGGUAAAGGCCUACCAAGGCGACGAUCCAUAGCUGGUCUGAGAGGAUGAUCAGCCACAUUGGGACUGAGACACGGCCCAAACUCCUACGGGAGGCAGCAGUGGGGAAUAUUGGACAAUGGGCGCAAGCCUGAUCCAGCCAUGCCGCGUGAGUGAUGAAGGCCUUAGGGUUGUAAAGCUCUUUCACCGAUGAAGAUAAUGACGGUAGUCGGAGAAGAAGCCCCGGCUAACUUCGUG